rnacentral:lncRNA from 1 species
GUCCUAUAUUAGUUAUAAAUAAAGUUGAAUUCUUUAAUUCGCUGUUUUACGUCAUGCCCGCUAACAAAUUGAAAACUGUACCUAUACGCCUUAUUUUUAGUCACAGAUUUUUAGUAUUCGUAUUGUUAUCUUAGAAAGUCUUACUGAUUAAAAUACUACAAUAGGUAACAAUUUGACAAUUUAGUAGUGUCAACCCUGUGAUUAUGACCCGUGUAUAUAGCUUAUUAAUCCUGAAUACACCGUUUGGUGGUGCGCCUGUCAGAUGCGGAACGUACAGAUAAGGUAAUAGGGAACAGGUGAAUAUACUAUUGGUAUCGGUAUCGGACUCGAUCCGGAACUUUAAUUAUUGGCAAUAUUAAUUACGUGGAAAACAAAAAGGCCUGGAGUGGUGUAAUUUUUAAUCUACACCUUUGUACUAUAUUAGUUAUAUAUAAAGUUGAAUUCUUUGAUUCGUCGUUUUUACGUGAUGACGGCUGACAAACUGGACCUCGUUAUUUUAGUAUUAUAGAUACUAUGGAGUUCAUUAAUCCUCAAUAUUGAAUGCAAACUCAUAGACAAGUAAAUUCUGGAUCAAAAUGUUCUGAAUAUAUUUCUCUUUCACCAAAAGUUUCAUUUCUGCCAAUUUGUUGGUAAGUUUAAAUAAACUACGACAUCAAAUGCACUAUUUUUGUCCGAGUAGGCCUACUUACACAUACGUUCUAAAUUGGAGGGAGUAAUUGGUGGUCUGACACCUAUGAGCAUUUUGAAAAAGUAUGCAUAAUGUCCAAAUACUUGGAACAUACAUAUUGUUAUGUGGAAAACUUAAUUUAUAUAAGUAUGUACAUGGAAGUAAUAUUUAAAUAUUACUUCCAUGGUAAAUAUUACUUCCAUGGUAUGUAUGACUUGUCUCUGCUCCUUUUGGAUUUGCGCAAAUAAAAUAUGUUUAAACUGCAUCUUAGAUAUAUUAAACACGUAUCAUUGGAAACGAUUUUUUUUUAUAAUGAAUAUUCAUUCUCAUGUACAAUGAAAAUGCAGGCUAAAUUCCUUGUUUAUGUCUUAUAUGUA